rnacentral:misc_RNA from 1 species
AAACAACUCAGGGUGCCUUAUUAGCAUAGCCCUUAAUCUGUUUGGCAAACCAAACUCCUUUCUAAAAUGUGUUAAGUGAUCAACCAAAGUCCUCUUCUCAACCAUCAUCCCUAAAACUUCUCUCACCACUGCACAAGCCCUCUUCUCAGCAUUAAUAGACUCUUUAUAGAAAUCAUUCACUCUUGUCUUAUAAGGACAUACAUCCGGUAAUUCUUUAAACUUUAUAAGGUACUCUUCAUGCCGUCUCUUCAAAUUUAGUCCUCUUCUAAGUUUUAAGUGCUUGAACUUUAAUGGCCGAUCUACAAUCAAUCCAAGUGAAACAUGGUCAACUUCAUGAGACG